UACGUAGGGGCCGAGCGUUGUCCGGAGUUAUUGGGCGUAAAGCGCGCGCAGGCGGCCUCGCGCGCCCGACGUGAAAGCCCCCGGCUUAACCGGGGAGAGUCGUUGGGGACGGCGGGGCUUGAGGGCGGGAGAGGGCGGUGGAAUUCCCGGUGUAGUGGUGAAAUGCGUAGAGAUCGGGAGGAACACCUGUGGCGAAGGCGGCCGACUGGGCCGACCCUGACGCUGAGGCGCGAAGGCGUGGGGAGCGAACGGG
rnacentral:rRNA from 1 species